rnacentral:rRNA from 1 species
AUACGGAGGGGACAAGCGUUAUUCGGAAUCACUGGGCGUAAAGGGCGCGCAGGCGGUUUGGUAAGUCAGAUGUGAAAGUGCAGGGCUUAACCCUGGAAGUGCAUAUGAAACUGUCAGACUUGAGUAUCAGAGGGGAAAGUGGAAUUCCCGGUGUAGAGGUGAAAUUCGUAGAUAUCGGGAGGAAUACCGGUGGCGAAGGCGACUUUCUGGCUGAAUACUGACGCUGAGGCGCGAAAGCGUGGGGAGCAAACAGGAUUAGAAACCCCUGUAGUCC